rnacentral:misc_RNA from 1 species
GACAUUCAUGUAAGGUCUCAAAGGAUCACGCUUUGACAUCUGUUUUGACGUGGCUUGGGCAACUACUAUUGCAUUUGAAAAAUCCUGAUGAGCAUCAUCAAGUUUGACGGCCAUUUUGGCCACCUUGUGUGAAAGAAUCUUUUGGUGAGUUGUCCAAUCUGCAGAUCUCCAGAUGCCUUUUGGAAUUUCACUUAGACCAAAGCCAAGAAGAAAUGCACCAGUGACUAGACCAAAUGUAUUGGAGCAAGCCAUGGCAAAACCAGGAAUGUUUCCUAUCCGGUAUUCUUGAACAACAAUGAGCAAGACAAGUCCAACAAGCCCGAUAGCACCAACGCAUAAGUAGAAAACUAAGUUUGCAUGUGCACUAGUCUUCAGUCUUUCAGUCAUAGUGAAG